rnacentral:lncRNA from 10 species
CUCUCUGCUGCGGCGCGGGGACCGCUGUGCUCUCGACACGGUCUCACUCUGUCACCCAGGCUGGAGUCCAGUGGCACGAUUUCUGCUCACUGCAGCCUCCACCUCCCGGCCUCAGGUGAUCCUCCCAGCUCAGCCUCCUGAAUAACUAGGACCACAGGCGUACACCACCACACCGGGCUGUUUUAUGUAUUUUCUGUGGAGACGGGGUUUCGCCACGUUGCCCUGGCUGGUCUUGAACUCCGUGACUCAAACAAUCCGCACGCCUCGUCCUCCCAAAGUGCUGAGAUUACAGGCCUGAGCCACCGCGCCCAGCCUGAACCCCCUACUUAAUGUCAGAAAUUUGAUUUGACUUCACAGGGAAAGCCCUGAGAAACUACCAGAACGGGGUCCCUGGGGCCAGUGUUGGGAGCGUACGGUGAAGUGGCAGGGCUGCUGCGCCCGUGCGGAACUCCGCUGUGGAAGAUUAGCCCCUUUGGUGACUCGUCGGUUCUGGCCGCUUUGGGACCCUCUACUGUGCAGUCUGAACUUUCAGCAGGUGGAGGAGGGCAGAGAGAGAGCU